rnacentral:rRNA from 1 species
GAUGAACGCUGGCGGCGUGCCUAAUACAUGCAAGUCGAGCGAACAGACGAGGAGCUUGCUCCCCUGACGUUAGCGGCGGACGGGUGAGUAACACGUGGAUAACCUACCUAUAUGACUGGGAUAACUUCGGGAAACCGGAGCUAAUACCGGAUAAUAUAUUGAACCGCAUGGUUCAAUAGUGAAAGACGGUUUUGCUGUCACUUAUAGAUGGAUCCGCGCCGCAUUAGCUAGUAGGUAAGGUAACGGCUUACCAAGGCAACGAUGCGUAGCCGACCUGAGAGGCUGAUCAGCCACACUAGGACUGAGACACGGUCCAGACUCCUACGGGAGGCAGCAGUCGGGAAUCUUGCACAAUGGGCGAAAGCUUGACGGAGCGAUGCCGCGUGUGUGAUGAAGGUCUUCGGUUCGGAACACUCUGUUCUUAGGGAAGAACCAAUUUGUGUUUAACUAUACACUUGUUGACGGUACCGCAACAGAAAGCAACGGCUAACUACGUG